rnacentral:misc_RNA from 1 species
UCAAUUUAUAGUGACUAUCAUUGAGUCUAAGCAGUGACGUAAGGGCAGCUGGUUACAAGGAAUUCACAAAGUAAAAAAGACGUUUUAGAUCAUACCUAGGUAAGUAUUCCUAUUUUAUUUGUUCCUAUUUUAAAAAUAGGAAUUUAAUAACCAAUUCGUAUUUUAGCGUUAAUAAUUCAAGCAUAUUUUUUUUAUUAUCUACAUAGGUAUUCGGUAACGGCAAAUCCUAACCUAAAAAGUAGUCUUUCUCCUAUACCAUAAAAUUAUACAUAAAAUUUCAGUGUCAGGUUUUUAAGUGUAUGGAAAGUGGGCAUUGUUCUUUAACGUUUAUAU